CCUACGGGAGGCAGCAGUGGGGAAUAUUGCACAAUGGGCGCAAGCCUGAUGCAGCAACGCCGCGUGAGGGACGACGGCCUUCGGGUUGUAAACCUCUUUUAGUAGGGAAGAAGCGAAAGUGACGGUACCUGCAGAAAAAGCACCGGCUAACUACGUGCCAGCAGCCGCGGUAAUACGUAGGGUGCAAGCGUUAUCCGGAAUUAUUGGGCGUAAAGAGCUCGUAGGCGGUUUGUCGCGUCUGCUGUGAAAACUGGAGGCUCAACCUCCAGCCUGCAGUGGGUACGGGCAGACUAGAGUGCGGUAGGGGAGAUUGGAAUUCCUGGUGUAGCGGUGGAAUGCGCAGAUAUCAGGAGGAACACCGAUGGCGAAGGCAGAUCUCUGGGCCGUAACUGACGCUGAGGAGCGAAAGCAUGGGGAGCGAACAGGAUUAGAUACCCUGGUAGUCCAUGCCGUAAACGUUGGGAACUAGAUGUAGGGACCAUUCCACGGUUUCUGUGUCGCNGCUACGCAUAACGUUACCCGUCCGUCGGGAGGUACGGCCGCGACGGACGUAAACUACAAACUAGAAGUUAGUACGGCGUGAGACGUGCCGACGGACGACGACGAGGGAGGAGG
rnacentral:rRNA from 1 species